rnacentral:rRNA from 1 species
UACAGAGGGUGCAAGCGUUGUCCGGAAUUAUUGGGCGUAAAGCGCGUGUAGGCGGCCGUGCAAGUCGGGUGUGAAAGCCCUCAGCUCAACUGAGGAAGUGCGCCCGAAACUGCAUGGCUUGAGUACCGGAGAGGAUGGCGGAAUUCCCCAAGUAGAGGUGAAAUUCGUAGAUAUGGGGAGGAACACCGGUGGCGAAGGCGGCCAUCUGGACGGAUACUGACGCUGAGACGCGAAAGCGUGGGUAGCAAACAGG